rnacentral:rRNA from 1 species
ACUUGGGGAUAACCUUGCGAAAGUAAGACUAAUACCCAAUGACGUCUCUAGAAGACAUCUGAAGGAGAUUAAAGAUUUAUCGGUGAUGGAUGGGGAUGCGUCUGAUUAGCUUGUUGGCGGGGUAACGGCCCACCAAGGCGACGAUCAGUAGGGGUUCUGAGAGGAAGGUCCCCCACAUUGGAACUGAGACACGGUCCAAACUCCUACGGGAGGCAGCAGUGAGGAAUAUUGGUCAAUGGACGAGAGUCUGAACCAGCCAAGUAGCGUGCAGGAUGACGGCCCUAUGGGUUGUAAACUGCUUUUAUAAGGGAAUAAAGUGAGUCUCGUGAGACUUUUUGCAUGUACCUUAUGAAUAAGGACCGGCUAAUUCCGUGCCAGCAGCCGCGGUAAUACGGAAGGUCCGGGCGUUAUCCGGAUUUAUUGGGUUUAAAGGGAGCGUAGGCCGGAGAUUAAGCGUGUUGUGAAAUGUAGACGCUCAACGUCUGCACUGCAGCGCGAACUGGUUUCCUUGAGUACGCACAAAGUGGGCGGAAUUCGUGGUGUAGCGGUGAAAUGCUUAGAUAUCACGAAGAACUCCGAUUGCGAAGGCAGCUCACUGGAGCGCAACUGACGCUGAAGCUCGAAAGUGCGGGUAUCGAACAGGAUUAGAUACCCUGGUAGUCCGCACGGUAAACGAUGGAUGCCCGCUGUUGGUCUGAAUAGGUCAGCGGCCAAGCGAAAGCAUUAAGCAUCCCACCUGGGGAGUACGCCGGCA